ensembl:lincRNA 1700020I14Rik RIKEN cDNA 1700020I14 gene
UUUCGCGCCUCCGCCCCUGGGUUGGCGGACAGUGGAAGGAGCGAACAUGGCGGAGUGAGGCGUGCCCCGGGCAGCUGGCCUGCGGGCCCGGGGCAGGCCUCCCGUGAGAAGCGGAGUACUUGUGCUGGACCGUGUGAGGAUCCAUAUCACACAAGAUGAAUAUUUUCCUGACCUUAGGUGCUUUUAUAUUCAGCUCAACAUUCUGAACUCAGGACUUGGCACGAAUUCCUAUGUGGACUGCUCAGUGAGGCGUCCUGGUUCUUCCAUCCUGUUACUUUCCCCAGUGAGAUGCAGAUGUCUUUCGACAGAUUACCUCCAUGGUUUAGGAUGCAGAGACUGCCUUUCUUUUACGUCAGACUCAACACAGGAAAGCCGUGAGGAUGCAGCCGUCCUGUUGACUUCAGCAAGAAAACAAACCAUUGACUUGGGUCUUCUGCAGCUUUUGAAUUGGAAAGACGGUGUUUGCAAGUAGAAGGAAGAUGCUGAAUUUGAAACAAGUGCUUAGGUUCUGUGGCGUGAGUUGUUUUCUUUUUAAAAGAUCCAAACAAGAAGACUGAACAAAUACCAAGUGUGGGUGACUUCAGGUUUUUUUUUUAAUGUCUUCCAAUUUUAACACUAUUAUAAGCACAGUUGACCGCAGUAAGUUCCAAAUAUUUAAUAUAAUUUGAAGUGAAAGAAAUGUUAUCUAAAUUCUGGCUCACUCUUUGACAGUUUUCCUGGACAAAAACAAGAUACGAUAAAAGCAGAAACCAGGUUUGGUUUUGUAUGGGAGUGAAAUCAUUACAGUUUUAUGGGUAUAAAUCUACAUUUUUAAACAAGAUUUUUCUCUUGGAGAAGAAACCUGUUGUUUAUAAGAAGGCUUUGGACAGUUUAAUAGUCUUAAAUGUUCUGCUUUGCUGUUCUAGUCCUUCUCAGGAAGGCCCAGCUGGGCCUGUGGCUAGUUCAGAAUGGGAGGAAACAUAGGCUGGGACAAUGCUCACCCUGAACUGCCAGCGUGUGGGAGGCCAAGGCAGGAAGAGCAGAUGUUCAGGGCCAGCUUGGACAUCAAGAGGCUCAAAACCAGUAGGAAAAAAAACAGAGCCCAGUAACACCCUCUUUUAUAUUCCUUUUGUGGAAUCAUGUAGCAUGUGAGACUGGGUUGGAAGGGAACUGGCAUAUGUGGUAUUUCAGUUAAGGUGAUGUGGUGGACCCUGAUGUGUAACUGGCCUUCACCUUUGGACAUACAGGAAUGAAGGAAAAACUAAGGCUUGGCAUAUAAAUCUUUUCUUCUAAGAAAAAGAAGCAAAGCUGUCUAAUGUAGCAUUGUCUGACUUUUCAACAUUUUUACUUUAUGUGGUUGCAUUUUUUUAUAAAAGUAUAAAUAAGUUCCUUCAACCCAAAA